GGGGCAUGUGGAGGAGGAGGAGGGGCUGGGGCCUUCUUGUGCAGAUAACCAGACAACAAAAGGGGAAGCUGAAGGGCCAGCUCCCAAGUGCUCAGGUCACCCCGCUGGCCUGCAGAUUUGCCGGUGGCCCCCAGCUGGUGGCCCCCAGAGUCUGUGGUUCAGACUCAAAGAUUCUUGGUCACGGAGUCCAAGGACUCAAAGAUGGGGUUCUGGAGAAAGCCCAUCCUCAGCACCCUCGGGGCAGGCUGUCAACCCCUGCUCCCACCUAUCCAAGCAGAGCCACUGUACGGCAGACUUGCAGGCCCAGUACCAGACAGCCUCAAAUGCCCCGCUCACCCAGCCAAGCCUCUGCAGACACUGCCUGCCAGCUCCCCCUCCUGCCAGCACGGGGUGGCAGUGGCCACACCAAGGCUGUCCCUUUAAAUCAUUACCACCCCUGACGGUGUGGACAAACCAAGGGCCCUGCCCCCCAGGCAGCAGCUUGCCACCUCCCCACCCCACCCCCCCAGUCCCCAGAAAUGUUAAGGGCCAUUUAAAGGGACAUCAGAGAGGCAGCCUGGUCUCUAACAAAUCCCUACCCCUCCUCACACACUCACAGACCCUGUCUCCAGCAGCACAUAGCUCCCUGCCUCUCCAGAGGGCCCCCCAAAUUCCGGUUUUCCCUCACCCCUAGAGACUGCUACAAGGAGAAGGGGGCAAGGCGGGGGGGGGGAGCCAUUAAAGGGUAAGGACUCCCUCCUCCCUUAGAGCCCCUGGAGACAGGUCGGAAGAAGCCAGCCCGAGAAACAGCGAGACAGAACCCCAAAAGAUUAAGGACUGGAAGCUCUGAGAGGUGUUGACCCGUCCAAGUCCCCUUUGUUGGCCGAGCUGGGAUUAGAAUCCUGGUUUGAGCUGACAGUCCAAGUUCCAAGGCAUAUACGACCGGAGACACCAAUACCAUCCAUCACCAACUCCAAGAAGGGCAGCCAGAGAGACCACUGAAUUCCUCUCUCCAAAGUGGGCAAUGCCAGAAGCUGAUCCACCUACCUACAAAGAUAAAGACCUUGACUUUUCA